GCCCUGAGCCCGGCUUCGGCUGGGGAGGGCGGGAUAUAAAUAAAAUUUAUUAUUAUUAUUAUUAUUAAUAUACAGUAAUAAUAAUAAUUUUUAUUUAUACCCCGCCCUCCCCAGCCAAGGCCGGGCUCAGGGC